GCGUUUAUCAGAAUGUUUUUUAUUUAGCAAUAUUUCACCGUUUCACGUUGGCGGGAAUAUUUUAUGAUUCCCGCGUAAUGUAUUUAUAGCCAUGACCCGCGCUAGCUUUGUUCAUGUGAACAGACGAUAUCAGUACCCCGGGUCAAUGACUUGUCGUGGGGCAGUUGUUUAUCCCGGGAUCAUGUGAACAGGGCCUUAGAAUGUAACUAUAUUUUACUUUUUAUUUAGACUAUAUUAUUUAAAAAAGCAUGUAUAUUAAAAUUUACUUUUUAUAAUUAGACAAUUAUUCAUAAACGCUAAAUUCGUCACGUGUGGGACAAAAACAUUUAUAUAUGAACAUUUAUGCGGGAUCAUUUAUGAAUAUAAAAUCCAGUCGUGAUACCACAAACUCUUACAACUUAAGUGCUAUUUUUAUCGUUGAACUAUAGUUUUGGCCGUUACGACUAUAAGGCAAUAUCUACAGUGCUUAAAGUACUAUUUCAAAAACUCAUUAAUAAUUCAGGAGCAAAUUAAAACACAAAGAAAAAUCAUAAGCGUGUCGUGGUUUUAUAUGUGAUAAAAAAUCACGUUAAUUUACAUAUUAAACUUUAGCUUUGAUUUUCUCGGUUUAGACAAAGUUUAUUUUAAAAAUUACUUCGCCAAUGAACUCGUAUAAGAUGAGUCGUUUUUGAGGCUAUUUAAAGCAAUUGUAGUCGUGUUUUAUCACAUAUAAAACACUCCGCUACGCGUCGUGUUUUAUAUGUGAUAAAACACUCCUACGCGUGCUUUAAAUAGUACUUAAAACAUGAACAGCAGUGUUUGUAUCAGACAUUUAUUAUAAAGAUACGAAGCGAAGCCGAGUUUUAAUUAAAUUGCUUCAAAAACGAUCGAUCUAUAGUAAGUUCAUUGGCAAAGUAAUUUGAAAAAGAUAUGUUGUGUAAGUCGAGAUCGGAAAAUCAAAAUUAAAAUUUAUGUAAAUCAAGGGAAAUCUCUAUCAGAUAUAAAGAUAAGACAGGCUUAUGAUUUUUAUUUGUGUUUUCGUCAUGAAUUAUUAAUGAGUUUCUGAAGCUUAAGUUCGAUCUAUAAUUCUUACAAUACAUGCAACAGCUCAUUAUCUAGGAAUCUCGUUAUCUAGUGUGCAUGAUGAAUUAAAUUAUUUUUCUCCUGUAACUACACAAUUGUUCAGUGUGUGUUUGAUAAGAACUACGUGUUCCUGGGAUUUCUAAAAUCCAGUAGGACGUAUUUUCAUCUCAGUUUUCUUCAUGGAUCUGCUGUCCCUUUUCCAAUGAUACCAAUUCAUUCCUUUCCCAGAUCUCUCCCCUGCCUUGAGAUAGCGACCAUUGAGGUUGGAGUAGUGACAGAAGUUAUACCACCAAGCACCUUGCUCGGUCACAGCGCAAUUGCUGCUACACUUAGAAUUAUCUCUGUCGUAGGUAGAGAACUUCAUUCCGUUGUGAUGUUUCAACGAAUCACCAGCAUUACCUUAGAUAUAAAACUUCCUUGAAAUAUAUAAAAGUUUGGGAUUUUAGAGUAUAUGAUACCCUCUGCUAAAAGUUUAAAAUGUCUAUAUUAUCAUAUCAACACGUUUAAAUGUUUGCCAUUUUUGUGUAUUAUCCAAUUCUCAAUGACUAACCUUUUUGAACAUAUUUUAAUGUUUUAAAUCAGUGUCCGUAAUUUGGUUUACGACCUUUAUAAUUUCAUAGUGUAUUUGAAAUUGCAUUAAUACCAUUAUCUCUCUCGUAGUCUCUGAGUAGUCACUGGCAAAUUGUGAGUAUGGCGC